GCAAAUUUCUCCCCGUGUUCGAGCCGCAACAAGCAAUCGCGCAAAAACCCUCUCCUCCUCGAGAACCCUAGUCCAAGCCCGGCGAGCGUGAAGGCGGCUACGGGGAGGACGAUGGAGCACCAGGCGGGAGGCGGAGGCGUUGCCGGCGGCCGCGCGCUCGGGGCUGCGGUUCCUCGGGCGCCUCUUGAUCUGGACCCGGACUGGAAAUACAAUUGGUCCAUGGGUAAUGUCAAUCGAGGAGAUCACAAGAGGAAGGCUGCAUCACUCAUUGAUGACGAUGAAGAAGAAGAUAAGGAGCCUUUGCCAUAUGCGACAAAUCCUCAGCACAUUUGGAAUUGGAGGAAAGCUAGUAAUCCAAAGGCAAUGUUCAGCGGAACAUCAGCAGGCAGAAGUACGAAAUAAUCAGUCAGAGCUGAUCGCAUGCACACUUGAACCAAAGUAUAUGUGUCAUGAUGAGAAGUUGAACCGUUCCAAUCGGGAGCUGGUUGGUCUGUACAAUCAGAUUGGAUUAAGAAGAAGGAAUCUUAUCAGAAAAGCUUACAGAAGGGUUUCUCUGGGGCGUGAUUUGAAGUCACAGCUUAAAGACAUCUUACAACUGCUGAAGGUCGCAAAGAAUCUACACAAGGAUAUCCUUGACCGAGGUGGUACUCCAGCACCCAUACCUGCCCACUUCGAAGAUAAAAAACGGUUCUACUGAUAGGGCAGCUGACAAUACCUGACAGUUUUUGGAAAAGUAACGCACGCUGGACAGAGAUCCAUCAACUCGAAAGCUGCGCCACUGACUUCUGGAUGUUUGGCCAUCGGCAUUUUAUUUUUGUCUUGCCAUCGACAUGUUAUUGUACAGCUAUUUUGUUCUUGCUGAUGCUACUACAUGCUGCCCGAUUUAACCAUGAAUGUUGCUGAAGCUUCUAGAAGGUCAUGCCGUGAUUAUACAGCUAUUUCGUUCUUGCUGAUGCUACUGCAUGCGCCUCGAUUUACUUUUGAAUGUUGCUGAAGCUUCUAUAAGCCCCUUGAUUCUCUUGUGAUUGUUGCUGAUGCUUUCACAUGCUCCUUGAUUUUCCUUCAAUGUUUCUGAUGAUACUACAUGCUCCUUGAUUCAUUUAUGUUUCGGAU